UCGUCUCAGAGCAGAUUUCAGCCGCGCUCCUCCUCUUUAAGUUGACUUUAAAUACUUUCCAACAAGUCCACGUCCACCUGAAACCGCCUGAAGCGUCCCCGAAGAGGUGGACUUUAACCCGGCGGGUUUGUUUUGGUGUCGCUUUGCUCGCAGAGGAAGAUUCUGGACGUUAAUGUCCGGAGCUGGUCUCUCGGUGAAGCAGCUAGCGGAGACAUGCAGCACCGCUGCAGCCGCUGCGCCGCUCCGAUCCAGAGACAAGCUAAAGGCUACAAGCGGAAGUCCCUGUUAUCCAUCACCGACCUGAGGAGCGCGCACAGACUCUUCCCGGACCUGAACCCGCAGGAGGCGUUUUUCUGUUUCUCCUGCGUCCGACACGUUUAUCAGAACACGAAGAAAUGUGGGAAGAAGCGGGUUUAUGUGGACCCUCAUCCCCCGACCCGCCCGGCCCCUCCGGCCCGGCCCGCCCCCUCUGCCCCGGGGGGACCCACCUCCUCCCAAAAAGCUCAAGAGGAGACUCCGAACUGCGCUGAACGAACAUGACUACGCGUCCCGGGACCCGGCGCCCUCCGCGCGGACCGAACCCCCGCAGGGUCGGCGGGUCCGCCGCGGGCCGAUCUCUCAGGUGUGCGGGUACCUGCGGAGGAAGAACUUCACCUGCGCGCUGAACAGACUGCUGCAGGUGUCCGGCUUCAAGGAGGCUCUGAUCCGGCUGUGUGGGAAACUCAUCUCCACCGAGCGUAAAGAGAUGGUGAACGAUCUGGACGGUCCGUUCAGGAAGACCUUCAGCCCUGAGAACCUGUCCGCGUUCAGCUGGGAUAAGACUACUUCCUGGGCCGAGGAGAAGGCCCCCCUGACUGUGGCCUGUCUCAGGUCCAUGUUCCCCCCCGCCAAGAAGAUCCAGAAACAGAUCGUGAACUACAGCCCAGGGAACAAACCCCGGCGGAUGUCGGACGAGGAGGCGAAGCAGAUGCUGGACCGGAGGAUCGGCCUCCUGCUCUCGGUGCCGCUGUACACCAGCACCCUCAGGGCCUGCUUCCUCCAGACGGCCUUCAGCGUGGAGAUGCUGCGACACCGCUGCCCCGUCAAAGUCUUCGGCAUCAUGAACGGCCUCGGCAUCUCGCAGUCCAAAACCACCGCCAGGGUCCACGCCAAGAAGCUCGCCGAGGAGCACGGCAGGCAGGUGAAGCAGUGGAGGGACGAGAUCCAGAUGACGAGAAAGACGCAGUACUGCAGCGUCGACUCCGGGAAGGCGGCGGCUUACACCUUCACCUGGGGGAACGUUCGGGUGCCGUCUUUGUCCCGGUCCGACUCGGCGGAACGAGGCUACGGCUUCGCGACGUGGGCGUUUCGCUUCGCUCAUCGAGUUCGGAUUAACUUCCGUAACCUGCACGGACCUCCGGCGAAAGCAGCGGACGUGUCUCCGUCCAGCAUCCUGCCGUCCAAACAGGUGCGCGCACUUUAAAAGGAGCCAAUCGGAGAGCUGUUUUCUAACAGGGACGGUUCAUGAUCUGUAGAACUGACUGACACGCAGCUAGUUAACGUCUGACGUCUGCGAGCUUCACUGUUAAUAUCUGUAUUAAUGACCCCGCGGGUUUUACAGCUUUUAUACAUCCAGAGAACUUCUGCAGACGCCAGACCAGGCGUCUCAUGGCGGCCGGAAACAAUACGCUGAUGAUGUCACUGAUCAUCAAUACAGAAUUUAGGCAAAUAAAUAUUAAAGUCAUAGUGACGGAUCAGAAAACUCAGUUUCAUGUGAAACGACCCAAAGAGCCUCCUCUUCCUCCUCCUGCUGCUCCUCUUCCUCCUCCUGCUGCUCCUCCUCCUCCUGCUGCUCCUCCUCCUGCUGCUCCUCUUCCUCCUCCUCUUCCCUUCCUCCUCCUCUUCCUGCUCCUCCU